rnacentral:tRNA from 1 species
UUAAUUGAAACCAAAAUAGAGGUAAGUUAUUGUUAAUAAUUUAAAUGAAUUUAUUAUUCCAAUUAAU